rnacentral:rRNA from 1 species
AUUGAACGCUGGCGGCAUGCUUUACACAUGCAAGUCGAACGGCAGCUCGGGCUUCGGCCUGGCGGCGAGUGGCGAACGGGUGAGUAAUACAUCGGAACGUGCCCAGUAGUGGGGGAUAGCUCGGCGAAAGCCGGAUUAAUACCGCAUACGACCUGAGGGUGAAAGCGGGGGAUCUUCGGACCUCGCGCUAUUGGAGCGGCCGAUGGCAGAUUAGCUAGUUGGUGGGGUAAAGGCCUACCAAGGCGACGAUCUGUAGCUGGUCUGAGAGGACGACCAGCCACACUGGGACUGAGACACGGCCCAGACUCCUACGGGAGGCAGCAGUGGGGAAUUUUGGACAAUGGGCGAAAGCCUGAUCCAGCAAUGCCGCGUGUGUGAUGAAGGCCUUCGGGUUGUAAAGCACUUUUGGCGGGAACGAAAAGGACUGUGCCAAUACCACGGUUCGAUGACGGUACCCGCAGAAUAAGCACCGGCUAACUACGUG